UAUUGGUCUAACUGUAAGUCGCUCUGGAUAACAGCGCCUGCUAAAUGACUUAUA
rfam:Salmo salar isolate Sally breed double haploid chromosome ssa27, whole genome shotgun sequence.